rnacentral:rRNA from 1 species
AUUGAACGCUGGCGGCAUGCUUUACACAUGCAAGUCGAACGGACAACACGGGGGCAACCCUGGUGGCGAGUGGCGAACGGGUGAGUAAUACAUAGGAACGUAUCCUGAAAUGGGGGAUAGCUCGGCGAAAGCCGGAUUAAUACCGCAUACGAUCUACGGAUGAAAGCAGGGGAUUCGCAAGAACCUUGCGUUUCUGGAGCGGCCUAUGUCUGAUUAGCUAGUUGGCGGGGAAAANCCCACCAAGGCGACGAUCAGUAGCUGGUCUGAGAGGAUGAUCAGCCACACUGGGACUGAGACACGGCCCAGGACUCCUACGGGAGGCAGCAGUGGGGAAUAUUGGACAAUGGGCGAAAGCCUGAUCCAGCAAUGCCGCGUGUGUGAAGAAGG